AUGUGGCUGCCUCUGUUUAGCUCUGGACCCCAGACAGAAAAAGCCAGGAGUAUAAAAUCUAAGGGCUUCUCCACCCUGGCCACUGUCAGGCUCGGUGAUUUGCUCAAUCUACAUCAUAGAACACAGUGUGGUUCCUGGAGCACUCAUAGACCCAAAGAUACUGAGUUUAGGGGUGGUAUUAGACCCUGGCUUCUCCCCACACCAGCAAGAAAUCCCCUAGAGACUGUAGCUUCACUCCAGCAGGACACUGGGUUGUGAACCCAUUUCCCUAGGGUAAGAAAGAACCAAGGUCCCUGAGAGACAACCGUAAGCCACGUGAAAGAUAUCCCAAGAUGAAGUUGCAACCAACGACUGAGCCACCCAUGUAAGGAAAAUCCCAGGUCACAAAAAUGUCCAGAGCGACCAGCUGAACAUUCAGAGACACCUACUUCAUGCCAUGCCGGGCUUAGAAGUGGCAACUCUAAAACGUCUACCUCCAAAUCAACGCCUGUGGGAGGUGUCCUGCCCUCCGAGGCCUGCAUCCCACAGUGGAAGGGGUGCUUUUUAUGCUGGGACUUAUGUGCUUGUCUCUGUAACUAGAGUACUUCUUGGGUAGUACUAAGAGCCUUGACCCAGUGUAAAAUACAGACAAGGAGCCCAGGCCUUCAUACUGGGGACCAGUGUGCUGAAGUGUGAGCCUUGUGGGAUUUUUGUCAAACCACAGGGGUAGGCCCACAGGGGACAGCCAUGACAGGCAGCUUGUUUCCAAGGUCAUGUUCUUGGUAGUCAG
rnacentral:lncRNA from 1 species